GCGGGGCCUGGGCGCGGGGCGGGGCCUGGGCCCCGAGCGGGCGGCGGCGACCAGCAGGAGGAGAAAGAACAUGGCGGGUGCGGCGGGGCCCGGGGCCGGCCCGGCGGCAGCGGGCGGAGAUGGGGACGAUUCGCUAUACCCGAUCGCGGUUUUAAUCGACGAGCUCCGCAAUGAGGACGUGCAGCUCCGACUUAACAGUAUUAAGAAAUUAUCAACAAUUGCUCUAGCACUUGGAGUAGAAAGGACAAGAACUGAACUGCUGCCAUUCCUCACAGAUACAAUUUAUGAUGAAGAUGAGGUACUGUUAGCCCUUGCUGAGCAGCUGGGAAACUUUACUGGCCUGGUGGGAGGUCCUGACUUUGCCCACUGUCUGCUGCCUCCUUUGGAAAGUCUGGCAACUGUGGAAGAGACGGUUGUUCGAGACAGGGCAGUGGAGUCCCUGAGGCAGAUCUCCCAGGAGCACACGCCUGUCGCUCUGGAGGCUCACUUCGUCCCGCUGGUGAAGCGCCUGGCGAGCGGAGACUGGUUCACUUCUCGCACGUCUGCAUGUGGUUUAUUCAGCGUUUGUUAUCCCAGAGCCUCAAAUGCUGUCAAAGCAGAAAUUAGACAGCAUUUCCGUUCCUUGUGCUCAGAUGACACGCCAAUGGUGCGACGCGCUGCUGCUUCCAAGUUGGGUGAAUUUGCAAAAGUUUUGGAAUUAGACAGUGUGAAAAGUGAAAUUGUUCCACUCUUCACUAAUCUAGCUGCAGAUGAACAGGAUUCAGUGCGUCUUCUAGCUGUGGAAGCUUGUGUCAGUAUUGCCCAGUUACUGUCCCAGGAUGACCUCGAGGCCUUGGUGAUGCCUACGCUUCGGCAAGCAGCAGAAGAUAAAUCUUGGCGAGUUCGCUAUAUGGUAGCUGACAAAUUUUCUGAGCUCCAGAAAGCUGUGGGUCCUAAAAUCACCCUGAAUGACCUCAUCCCUGCCUUUCAGAACCUACUUAAAGACUGUGAAGCGGAAGUUCGAGCAGCUGCUGCCCACAAAGUAAAAGAACUUUGUGAGAACUUGCCCAUUGAAGGUAGAGAGACCAUAAUUAUGAAUCAAAUUCUGCCUUAUAUAAAGGAAUUAGUAUCGGAUACCAAUCAACAUGUCAAAUCAGCUCUAGCUUCUGUGAUUAUGGGACUAUCUACUAUUUUGGGCAAGGAGAAUACCAUUGAACAUCUUCUACCUCUUUUUUUAGCUCAGUUAAAGGAUGAGUGUCCUGAAGUGCGCUUGAAUAUCAUCUCUAAUUUGGAUUGUGUAAACGAAGUGAUUGGGAUCCGUCAGCUCUCUCAGAGCCUCCUUCCUGCCAUCGUGGAGCUGGCAGAAGAUGCCAAGUGGAGGGUCCGACUGGCCAUCAUUGAAUAUAUACCACUGCUGGCAGGCCAGCUGGGUGUGGAAUUCUUUGAUGAAAAGCUGAAUUCUUUAUGUAUGGCCUGGCUUGUGGACCAUGUAUAUGCCAUCAGAGAAGCUGCCACCAACAACCUCAUGAAACUAGUUGAGAAGUUUGGUACAGAGUGGGCCCAGAAUACCAUCGUUCCCAAAGUGUUAGUAAUGGCAAAUGAUCCUAAUUACUUGCAUAGAAUGACCACUUUAUUCUGCAUAAAUGCACUGUCUGAACCCUGUGGUCAGGAAAUAACCACUAAGCAAAUGCUGCCCAUUGUGUUAAAAAUGGCAGGAGACCAAGUAGCAAAUGUUCGUUUCAAUGUGGCCAAAUCCCUACAAAAAAUUGGGCCAAUUCUGGACACCAACUCUUUGCAGGGGGAAGUGAAGCCAGUACUACAGAAAUUAGGUCAGGAUGAGGACAUGGAUGUCAAAUACUUUGCACAGGAAGCUAUAAGUGGAAAUAAGAUUGGUGUGGUCGUUAUCCAGUCUUAACCUAGGCAGCAGUUCUGUGUGGAUUUGUCUGAUGGCCUCUCACGUCGCUGUUGUUUCUCAUCCUAAGAUACCAGUGCUUGGCCACGAUGAUGCAGGGCCCCUGGGGGUCUUUGUUGGAUAAUGUCGGACUUAACAGAGACUGCAGCCUGACCUUGGAACUCUCUCGUCAAAGCAUCUGAGUUGCCUGCAUAGUCCUCCAGGGAAAACAAAUAUUUCACUCCUGACCCAGUGGUUAAGCUCUGUUAAUGCUGUCUUGUUGCUGUUUUGUUCCUUUAUUAACCACUGUGUUGUCACUAAGCUAAAAGUCUGAUACUUUCCUGUAGGAAUCACACUGGUUCCAUCCCCCUUGGGAUGGCUUGGCAGGCCAGCCAUCAAAUUGGGCGCUUUGUCCUAGGUUCUUGCCUUUCACUUAAAUUCCUCUGAAUUUUCUUUAUUGUGACACUCUUAUCUUAAAGCCUUGUAUUUCUCGGCUGCCUGGAUAUAAAACUAUAGAGGGAGAACGGCCUGUCACCUCAUGUUCUUGCCGUCACAGAUGAGGUGAUUGCCGUCUGAUGUUAGGUAAUUGUUUCCCUUAGAUUCUCCAGUGUUCCUGUUUCCAUCCACUUCCUUGCUCCUCUUUCCUAAACCCUCACGUGUCUCUCAUCCUUUUCUGUACCUAGAAUAGUCCCACUAUCCCCUGUUUGCCUCCACAAGCCUGCUGUUUCCAGGAAAUUACAUAAUGUUCAGUUGAGAUGGAAAUCUUCUGGAGGAUGAAGAGAGUUUAAUUACUCAUUGCGUAGAAAAGCCAAGUCAUUCUUUCUCCAGAGUUGUUCUCUUAAGCUGAUAAUAUUACCUCUGGAAGGAUCUGGGUCUUUUCUGCCUGGUUGGGGCUCUGCAGCCUAUUAGUAACUGAGGUGUGGGGAAGCACCCAGCUGGGCGCUGUAAGGCCCAGUGGGGUGGCAUUUUGUAGGGCUCCCGAGGGAAAGAAAGCACCUUAGGCAAGGUCCUGAGUUGAACCAGCUUUUUCUGCCCAGGCGCCCUUGCCCUCAUAGGUUGCUGGGUUCCCAGUUCAGUCCUAGAAUAACUGAGGGCAUCCCAGCUAGGAGUGCAGGUGGGCCUGGGAAGGAUGUGCCCUGGACAGUUACAGCACUGCUGUCUGUAUCUCUAGUGGUGGCACAAAGGCCGAGGAAGCUAGAUUUUCCUGUGAAGGGCAGUGAAGUGCCCAGCACCUCUGAGGCUGAAAAGAACCACUUCCUGAGACUCAGAGUGCCUGGAGAGGACACUGGGAAGGUAAGUGCCUCAGAAGCCUGCGGGCAGCCAGCCUGGCCUGGUGCUCAGAGAGUUGUAGGGGGUAGGCAGAGUACAGAGUACAGCGGUACCUCGUACUCUGUCCCCAAGGGGAACAGUCCACGUUUUAAGGGUAAGGAGGGCUUGUUUUGAAAGCCAGUUACUGUCUUUUCCUCCUGCUUUAUGGGAAUGCUUUAUGAGGUGUGGGCUCACUGUCCAGAGCUGUCACUCUCGUGCCUUGAGGUCUGUCCUGUCUCCCAUUUAACCCCAGUCAGAAACGGCGAGGCCUGGGCAGCAGACAGUAGUGUGUUGGUAUAGUUUAUAGGCAGGAGCUGUUUCCACUUUCCUCAUAGAACACAGAAGGUGAUUUGGCAAGCUUCUUCUCGGGUAGUUACUUCCAUUCAAGAUAAAAAUAGGUUUUAUCUAUUCACUAUUUUAAUAGGUUCAAAAGGUUUUUCUGUGUCAUAGUUCAAAUGUUUUACAAGCCCCAUUUGAUGUCACUCUGCAUGGAGGUGUACAAAAGCUUCAGUUCAGCAGUCACAGUUGGUGUGGGCCACUGCCCCGGGCCAUUCAUCAGGGGCGAUUUGUGACUUACAGACAGAUUCGGAAAAGGAGCACAAAGAGGCUCCUUUUGGUCAGGCUGCGUUUGCUCUAUUGGGAAGAGUCUGGCACUGUCACACCCACUCCAGUGGGUUUGCUUGGUAAAAACUCUUAUGUCUAAACGUCUGCCUUUUAAAUUUCAUGGCUUUUCAUUUUAUGUGAACCGAGGCUGUAAGAACGGUCGGACAGCCCUGUCGUCCAGGCCCUGAACUGCAGUCACGCAUCUUAGCAUGUUCUCAGCUUCCUGCGGGCCUGCACACUCUUGCCCCUGGCUGAUCCUGCGGGGAAGGAAGCGCAGAUGACUGCACUGGCAGCCUCAGUAGGCCGAGGACCCUGACAGACAGAUUGCCGAGGUGGCCAGCCAUUGGGUCGUUAGACCCACUUUAUAGAACUCAGCCUUAGGGAAGAGAUCUUGGCUGAAAGAGCGGAGUGGCAGUUACAUUUUUUAGGUGUAAACCACAGACUUAAAGGGGAAGAAAGUUGUUUUCCUACAAAUUCAGGGCCAACUGCCCAUAGCGUGAAGUGCAUAGUACGCUCCUGAUGGAGCAUGGAACGUUGAGGCGGCCUCGCCAGGGCAGAAUUGCUCAGCUCAGAAGAAGGCCCCGGCCAGCCUUCCACAAGCUGAGGACAUGGUGUCAGCUGCUGUUCCUUGAGCUAUGGUAAAUGCAGAGCCUUGACAAGCACUUGAUCAAAUUUCAUUUAAUCCUUACAGCAACCCUCGGCAGGAGGUGCUGUCAUCUCUGUUUCUGAGGUGGUCGCGAAUCUCCCCCAACUAUAUAGUAUCUACCUCGGACGGUUCCAGGAAUGGAGGCCUGGUGGUGCUAGGCCUCUGAGGCUAGGCGUGCAGUCCAGAAAAAUCCCCUGCCCUGUGACUCAGGGAGCCUUCCCUGUGUUUGUUUCACUUAAGGAAAAUGACCCGAGGGUGAGAUGGAAAGGGAAUUGGCUGUUGCCAGGCAGAGCCCUUCAUGUCAGGGGCCAGCAGCCAAGUGAGUGAUCCAGGAAGUCAUCCAAUUGCAAACCAGAAAUUGUUCUUAACCCCUCACGGUCUGUUGUGCAGAGUAAACUCGCCAACCCGUCCAAACAGGGUGAGAGUGAAGGCCCAGCUGUUGAGAGGCCUGGGAACUGUCCCUAGUCCUCACCCUCAGGGCCCUCAGGGAGCCUUUUGACAUCCCAGGACUAAGCCUGCCACUUAGUCCCAGAGAAAAUAGCCCAAGGGGUGAGAAAGAGCUUCUCUUGGUGAAGGUGCCUCCUCGGCACCCUUGAGGUCUGCAGAGCACCUGUGUGCCGGAUGUUGCGUGCAUCCCCGCCACACAGGACCUGCCAGGUCCCUGCCGCCAUGUCCCCUCUCACUGGCUCCUGGAUGCUCUGCAGGUCACUCUGGCAGAGCUGCUGCCAGGCCUAUGUCAGGCAAGGGUUAACAGAGGAUUUGUUUAUUGAAUCACGAAGGAGCUGUCACAUGAUUUUAAUCAAAACACCAUUUCCCUGACAACAGUGAUGUCAGUCUUGUUAUUGCAGGAAGGAGCAGCUGUGAGGGACAUCCAGUCUCCAUGCUGAGCCCAGAUUUGGAGACGCAAAGCAAGUGAAGCAUCCAUAAAUACCAGAUGCAGACGCUGACCUACUGAGUCUGCCUCCUCCUCUGCCCUCCAGUCUGUCCGGCACACACGCUGACCAGAGGCACCCAGCACCCCAUGUGUCAGCCAAGGCCUCACCCGCAUCCCUUGUUCCUUCUACUCUUGUUUCUGCUUCUGAUUUCUCUUUUUUUAGGCAGGGUCUCACCUUUUUUGCCCAGGUUGGAGUGCAGUGGUAUAGUUCACUGCAGCCUCAAACUCCUGGGCUGCUGAUCCUCCUUCCUCAGCCUCCUAAGCAGCUGGGACUACGAGCGCACAGCUCUCCACCUGACUCUUGUUUUCCUUAUUUUCCCCAAACUCAGUCACCUGGGCCCCAAGGUCUCUGGCUGUGCCUUCUGACAUCUGUCUCUUCACCUGAAGCAGCUCUUCUGGUGAACGGCUCUUCUGGCCACCCCGGGGUGGGGUCAUUAUGCGGCUCAGGAGCUUUGGGUUGUACUGGAACCAGCUUCCAAGGGCAGGAAAGGGGCUGCUUGUCUGUGUCCCUCCCCUAGUACAGCAGGUUGGGGGGCUCAGGUGUUGCCCUGGGGGACAGAGCAACCUGAGGACUCCUAAAGGGCCUGAGCUCUUGGCUGAAAGAUUAGUUCUUUCAAACUCAGAAUGUCUACAGGAGGCCUGAGUCUGAUCCAAGGACUCAACAAAAACCAAAGCUGAGGGACACUUGAUCCCACCCCCAGUGGCCUCUAGCCAAGAGAAUUGGAUCCUGAAGCCAACCAACAGGUCAAAAGUUGGCAGGUCACAGGGUGCCCUGGGACGGUGUCCUCUCGCUCUGGCCUCCUUUCAGGGCCUUUGCCACUGUGGGGCUUAAUGGAACAGCUGUCCACAUGGAGACUUCAAGCCUUCCAACCCUUCUUCACCCAGGAGCUUGGCCUAUAAGUUGGAGAUGACAGAGGCCUCCUAGAUGGGCAAUAUUAGAUUCUUAGGCUGGGGCUACCCAGAACUCAAUUCUGAAAAUUUAGAAGUCCUGGCUUGGCGCCUGUAGCUCAGUGAGUGGGCACCAGCCACAUACCCCGAGGCUGGUGGGGUCAAGCCUAGCUUGCACCUGCUAAACAACGACAAAUGCAACCCCCCCCCCCCCAAAAAAAAAGUAGCCUGGCAUUGUGGCGGGCGCCUGUAGUCCCAGUUACUCAGGAGGCUGAGGCAAGACAAUCACUUGAACCCAAGAGUUUGAGUUUUCUGUGAGCUGUGAUGCCAUAGCACUCUGAAAAUUUAGAAAUCCUGGCUCAAAGUUCUCAACCUGGAGCAGGUACUCAGAACAGGGUAACCACCUUCCUCCUGUGAAGAGAGUGUUGACAGGCCCUGAGCAGCCAUGUUCUAGGUCUUGUGCUGGGACAGGCAGACGAGAUACUCUGACCAGCUGUAUGAGAGGACUAGGGGAGUCCUCUGGGUGCUUUCAUGACAGAGAGCAGGCCAUACCAGGCUGCAUUUGAACUUCAUGGUAAACCUGCAAGUUAAGACCUGGGUGCGGUGGCUCAAGUUCGUAGUCCCUGCUACUUCGGAGGCAGAGGCAGGAGGAUCCCUUGAGCCUAGGAGUUUGAAGCUGGCACAAGCAUCAUCUUGCUACCUCACUCCAUCUCACCCCUCACAACAGAGACCCUCUGUCUAAAACAAAACACAAGGCCUGGGAGUUAAGUCAGCCAGCCAGUGUUCCAAGUUCCUGUUAGUGAUAACAAGCCUUUACAAUGACUUGCCCAGGUUAGUGGCAGGGCUGGGAGUGGUGCCAGAGGCUGAGGACUUGGUCAGAAGUUCUUUGUUGCCUCCCGGAUGGACAAGGGGUAACACCCCCUCGGCCUGUGCUCCCAGCCUUGCUCCUUGCCUGGCCCUUUCAUCCCUGGGUUCCCUCCAACUGCCGGCCUGCCCUUUGGCCCUCACUUUGCUGGCAGGCCCCUGCUACACGUUUUGGCUUUUCUAGUGACCAGAAGGCAAUUCUAGUGGGUUCUAGACUGGAGAGACAGGGAGGCUGUGAACUCAGGGUCCUUUGCAGGGUGUGCUCGGAGGAAAGGACUUGGUGGAUUUUCCUCAGUUCAGUUGUGUCCCAUUGCCAACUGUGUGGGUGGCCCUGGGUGGUAAUGAUUCCUCAGGGUUAGAAUUCUCAGUCCUGCCUCCUCUUGGUCAUCUCAGGCUCCCUUAUCCCUUCUUUGGGGAGUGAGGAGGGAGACUGAGAGCUCUCUAAAACCACCUGAGGGAGUGACUCAGUUUCCUCUUUAGGAGGCUGAAUCCCUAAUGCCUUAUUUCCUCCAGGCCCAAAUUUUCUGAACUUCCUGCCUGGCCAGCUUUUGGGGUCUCAGCUCUGGGGAAUUCUACUUCCCACAGUCCGGUGUCCCCCCUCCUCCCUUCCUGGCCCUUGGUGGCUGAGCCCAGCACAUACUUUGCCUGGGCUUGGAGCCUGGUCUCUAUGCUGGACUGACAAGCUCUGAGUCAGUCCUCCCUAGGAAAGCCCCCUAGAAAUGUGUGCAAAGUGAGGCCUCAGCAGAAAGGCUUGUUAGAAAGCCAGGCAGCUGGACACACCCCAUGAGCUCCCCAUUCUGCCUGACCUCAAGUUUGUCCUCUGAUUUGUGGUCACAGCAUCAGACCUGGGUGGAGGCAGCUAUGCCAGUGAUGGCACCUGGUCUGAGGUGAGGGCCCAACACCUUCAACUCAGUCAAGACCCACAUGUGUCUCCAGGAUAAUCCGUGCACAAUGUUCCACCUCUUGAGAGCCACUCAGCCUUUGAAGUCACUGGCUAGGUCACAGGGAGAAGGGCACAGCUAUGUUCUCGUCAGCCUGCAGGCUGCAUUUCUUUUGUAGCCACAUGGCACCCAGGAGCUAGUGCACAAGGCCCAGAACUUCCUCCCAUAGUGCCCCUGGGUGUAGGCAGGGCGGGAGGCUCCUCUCACCUGGAUCCACCCAGGGUGGGAUUAGAAUCCCCUCAGUAGGACGGCAACUCUGAAAAGCGUGGAGGUGGAAUCGGGUCCUUAACCUUGGUCCACAGGUGGGCCUCCAGGGAUCCGGCAACCAACAACUCUCCUGAAAUUAUGUCCCAAACUGUGUGUGUAUCUGUGUAUUUGAGUUUUGGGACGAGAGCCCUGUGCUUCCGUCAGCAUGCCAGAGGGAUCUGUGAUCCUUCGAGAUCUGGUAUGGAAGUAACAGCAUAAGGCCCUAUUCCACUCACCUUGCAUGGUGAUGGAGGGCUGAGGAUGACUUGGGAUGUGGGGCAUUGCCAGCCAGCUCUGUCCCUGAGCCUGGCCAGGCAGAAGCCCUGGGUUUAAGGUGCAGGGCUCCGGCCCCUCUUUCCCACCGUGCAGAGCCUGUGCCUCACAGAGGCCACAGAGUUGAAGAGUGUCCUGGGGAGUCUGGAGACCGGGGGCUUGCCAGGCUGCUCUGGCCUGUGUGUUAUUUUUGCCCAUAUCCUGGGCACUGGGGUUAGUUUUGGCAACAUACAAUAAAAAGGAUGGAGAAAUUUGGUGGAAAGGGAAGUUUGCAAAACAUCAUUACUGAAUGCAGUGAGUGCUUUCCUUAAAAAAAAAAAAAAAUUGAAACUCGGUGAUCUGAAUUCUUGGUUAGCCAUAGGGUACACAAUUGACUUCAGGCAGGACUGAGUGUCCGUGGUUCAUGGGUGGCAGAAAGCUCUGCCUCCUGCAUCCUCGUCCCGCAGCCAGUAGCCCAUCCCUUGGGCUGGAAACGGUCUCUGUUCUACAGCAGGGACUGUCACAGCUGAGAGCCCGCUGCCAGGAAGCAGGAUCUGGCACUGCACCUGCACCCACAAUGCAGGGUGGCUCAGCAAAUGGACUCCCCAGCACCCUGAGGGCGUGGCGGGUCUGAAAGGGUGCCUGUGAAUGUGAGGGAGUUCACAGUGUGUGUGCACGCAGUGCUGAGGCCUAACGGACCCCCAGAAGAAAUAUGACACUGUGACUAAGUGGCAGCAUCUUUUGCCGGCCUUCCUGGCCGCACUGAGCCCUUCCCCACAGCUGGCCUGCAGCUUGCCUGUCCUCAGAGGCCAGACAAGAACUGGCCAGGCUACCCGGGCUGAAGGGCUUUGCCCUGAGACUCUGGAAAGCAAGUAGCAGCCAUUGGGCAGUGCCGAGUGGGCCUUGUCCCCAAGCAGGCUGUGGUUAGCAGGGCCGCUGUCAGUGAUCUGCAUAGCUAACGUGUACUUAGGCGACUCAGAGCAAGGUAUUAUUUACCCUGCUGACGUCAAUGAGAAUAUAUUAUCCACCGUCCUCUUCUGCAGCCCGAAAUGAGCACCAGAGCUCAGAGAACACAGUCCCUUCCCUACUUUUAAAAUCUCCCCAGGCCUGAUGAGGGAGAGGCGCUGUCGUGCUAGCCGGCCAGUCACAUUGCCCAGGCUCUUAGAAAACAAGUUGUUUUUAUUUUAAUUCAAGAGGGUUGGAAACAUAAAAACAGUACAUUUUCCUUGCCGAAAAUUACCCCAUUUAAAUUACCAUUUGGUACAAAGAUCAUUUAUUACACUGCAUUUUAGGCAAUUUUCUAACACUGAGUGACAGGUUACACUUUGAUUUUUUUCACAUUGGAGCUAUUAUGAUUAGCACUCAAAAUACCAAAGCUAUUGAACUCACCGAUUUUUUUCUUAGUAAUUUAAAGCACAGAAAAAAUAACUACAAUUAGAUUAACUUUGUCAAAAGUAACUCUUUCACAGACCAAACAUCCAGCAAAACCAUCUUCCUCCUCCCUUCAGAAAUAAGCAAAUAAUCUUGCCCUUUCCACAAAGUGCAAAUCUCUCUGUAUCUCUUUUAUUUAUUAAACUGCUGUCCCCGGAAUGAAGCAAACCUCCUGUUCUCUUUGCUUCUCUCUCCUAAGAGAUCUUGGUGAAGGCAGAUUUCUUGUCCCAUCCCUGGUGGGACAGUCUCACCACUUGAAUUUCCUUGACUGAGCAAAUCUUGGACAGACAAGCCUCACACAGCCAACAGUGAGUUCUAGUUAUCUGCAUUUGCUAAUGUAACAUUAUUCCAUUUGGGGUCAUAUUUUUCCAGGAUGUUGUUCUAAACUUCUAUUUUUAAAGCUUCCCCCUGCCUAUCCACUUUGGCUCUUAAAAGACAAAGUAUUUAAUAAAGUAUGUCAUUUUUUUAAUCCUAAAAAGCGUCUAACAAGCACUUUUACUUGGUGGGACUUGACUGCAAAGAAAGACUGACUGCCCCCCAGGACAAAGCUGAGCUUGUGCCUCUUCUCUGAGCACCCCCUUUUCCUGGGCUGAAUCUGGUGGCCUUCAGUAGUGGUCUAACCCCAUGCAAUUCAGUUCCUUAGCAAUUGAAGAGGGGUGUCUUUCCAUCACGUAAUUCUAUAGGAAAUUAUUUUGUGUAACUUGGAAAAACUAGACAUCUUUGCUGUGAGCCUAAACUUCUAUGGUUAACGAGAUACUGGAAGGAUGGCCAAUCUGUGGGGUCUUUGUCUUCCUCAGCCUUAUUCCAUGCAGGGCCACCUGGACCGCUGUAGUGUCACCUGAAGAGCAUCUCUCCCCCAAAGCUUGGCAGCUGUCAAGUGGAGAAUGAGGUUCUGGGAACACUGUCACAUUCACCCUGUGCCUGGCCAAAAUGGGGGCUUUGUUUAUACAGCUGUUUGCUUAUGAAAAGAGUCAGAUGCUACUGAGGAGGGAAAGAGGGCCUCUCACACCAGAAGCCAGUCACCACAAGUCCUUGUCCCGAGCUCCUCUCCUCACCAGCCCUGCGACUUGGAUAAGUCACACAAACUUCUGAAAGCUUUGGUUUUCUCAGCUGUGAAAAAUAAGGACAAUACCUCUCCAACAAACUUCAUAGAAUUGUUGUGAGGAUUCGAAGAGAUUACUUGUGAAAGUGCUUGGAAAGCUAACACAUAAAUAUAAGCUAUUGCUCCCUGUGACGGGCAGGCUGAGUGUUAGGCUAGGACCCCCUGGGACUCUCACGGGCUACGUCUGUGGGCCGUCCUGCUGCCUAUUUUCCCAUCUGUGCACUAGUAAGUGCCCCAGUCUGCCCAUUGGGUUGAAAUCUGCCCAGAGAAGGGGCACGCAAAAGAUGGUGGGGCGACCAGGAUGGUGGUUAAAGUCUUCCCGGAGCAGCCAGGCUGCUUAACUGGGAAAAAAUGGUAAAAUAUGAAUGUGAGAGGCCCCGGGAGAUCAGGACUACAGGGCCAAACAGGGCCUGGAGGUCACCCUGCUGCUGACAAGGGGCAGACAAAGAGCUCUGUAAUUACAGCCGCUUGCCUGGGCCACAGGCCAGGAACGAGCAAACUAUGGGACUGGUCAGAAGGGAUGUGUAAAUUUUUAAAGUGUUUUUUUUUUUGUCCUCCACACAUCACUCUUUAGGUUCUAUAAAAAUUUCCUAGAAGCAACAAACAAUCAAGAACCCUGCCUGUACUAUGACUCCAACUUCCUGCCUAUUCUCCAGUUUUCCCCUUUGAUGUCUAGGUACAGAGAGACUGAGUGGCGCAGGUGGCUCCCGAGGAGGCAGCAGAGAUAUCCCAGUGUAGGGUGCAGAUGCGGCCAGGUCAGCCCCAGCACAGGGAUUCAGCAGCCAUUCACUGGGGACCAAUGUUGGCAAUGACAUUAUCUCUCGGGGAGGUUGAAUGUGAAAAAGUUAUCUGGAAUAUGAUGUUUCUUUAAACCAAUAGAGAGCUUACGUGUAACUGUUGAUAGAGGUUUUAAAUGCAAUCCAGAGUAGAAAAACUCUGACCCCAAUAUAUCCAUCAACCUGGGGCUGGACUAGAGGCUGGAGGACCCACACAGAGGCGGCAGCCUCUGCGCCUGCGUCUCCCCAGAGGCUGCUCUGAGGCACACGCCGCUGGCACCCUUGACUGGCUAGGACUGGAAGCUGCUGCUGUUCAGCUUUGCUUGGUUUCUGGCUGAUCACUGACUCACUCUCUAGACGAGAAUAUGUCCUUUUCCCAAGCCUAACACCUGCACAGAAUCACAGAAUUCUUUCUUUUUUUUUUUUUUGAGACAGCUUCUCACCUGUGACCCUAGGUAGAGUGCUGUUGACGUCACAGCUCACAGCAACCUCAAACUCGGGCUUAAGCCAUCCUCUUGCCUCCACCUCACAAGUAGCUGGGACUACAGGUACCUGCCACAAUGCCCAGCUAGUUUUUUUAGACAUGAGAUCUAGCUCUGGCUCAGGCUGGUCUUGAACUCGUGAGCUCAGGCAAUCCAUCCACCUUGGCCUCCCAGAGUGCUAGAGAUUAUAGGUGUGAGCCACUGCAUCCGGCGACUCACAGAAUUCUUUCAAGCAUUUCUCUGCCUGUAGUAGGUAUGAAUGACAUCCAGUGUGUGGGCAGAAAGGUCAGCCAGUCCCCUGACAAGUCCCUCUGCUGGGGCCUUUAGUCCCUGCUGGAGGACAGGGUAGAGGGCAGGUAGAACUCCCACAGGGUGGCCUGGCCCUCCCUCCCCAUCAGAGCACAGGGCCCCUGACUGCUCGAGGGGCCAGAGUCAGGGAGGAGCGCAGGGUAAAGGCUGAGUUGGGCCCUAGGCUCCCGCCAUCUCACCUCACUGACUCUAAGCCACCGUUUAAACAACUGGGAGUUUCUUAAUUCUGAGGGAGAAAGGGCCAUGACUUUUUUAGAAGACAAAGUACAGAAAAGAAAAGGCUCUACUUGUAUCUGUACUAACAACCCUUGAGUCCCAUCUCUGCUCCUCCUGAUGGGCCAUGGUCCCUGCCCAUUGGGUUCUAGAGGCUGUUUGCAAAGACAACUGUCUGUCCCUCACCCUGUCCCCAAAGUGGUGAGGGGCAGUGCAGAGGAGCUCGGGGUGGCUGGGGACGGUCAGUGUAGCGCCCCGGGAGUGACCUGCAGGACCCCACUCCCUUCUGCUGUGUUACAUGCCCUGUUUGCCUUACAGGGACCAGCAUGUCAGUUGCAUGUAAAUACUAGAGACACACUUGCCUAACUGGAAACUGCAGAACUAGUGCAUUUUUCCCAAGGCAGAGACUAACACCUCUGGAUUAAAAAAGGAACAUACAAAAUAAAGAAAGUACCACACAUAUUGCACUUUUUUGCCAAAUGAAAUUUUUACCUCAGAUUCAUCUCACCAAAGUCUCUUCGACGAGCCUGGUUUACCAGAUAAUAAAGCUAACGAUCACCAAACAGUAGUGUACACACGCUAAUGUGGAACAGACCGCAAAGGGAGUCAGGAAUUCAAAGGAGCCUCUCACAGAAAGAGCGGUGCAAGCCUUCGUAGUGUUUCCCUAGCAUUUAUGGAGCAAAUGGAGGCUUCCACCGGUCACUGUUUAGGGACCAGAACAGCACAGAUCAGACACAGCUGCAGACACCCAACCGGCCACCAGAGCCAGUCUCCGCUCACCAGCUUACAUUUAAGUAAAUACAGAUGGUUAUGGAAUUUAUUGAUUUCUGCUUGAAAUAAAUGAGAUAAGCAAACAGGAGCUUGCCACAUGGGUUCCAGCAGGAGGGUCGUGCUCUUCACCAGGGAGUGUCCAGCGGCCUGGCUGCUGCUGUGCGGGCGCUUCCCAAUUUGUCUGCGUCCCUUAACCUUCCAGCCCGCAGCCUCUCUGCAGUCCCUCACAUGUCGGCCUAACUGUCCUGCCAUAGCUCUAGGUCUCUUGGGCUAAGCAGCUCACAGCCUCGUUGGGGGGUGGUGGUGGGGAGUUUAUGCCAAUCUGUUACUGUACCAUUCCUGCCGUUCUGAAAUGAAUGGCCCCCAUUUUCAAUCUGGAAGGCAUUUUAAUUUCAUAAAUAUUACAGCACUUCUGUAGUAUAUUUUGGGAAAACAUCCUCCUUCCAUCUAAACAAAUCAAGUCCUGUUUUUACAACUAGCUUAUUUUGCAAAGACUUAAAACAGAUUAGAGAUCUCAAUGAAACGAUCUCGUAAAUGAAAUGAUGUUCUCUAUUUCAUGAAACCAUCAAUCUUAAGCUCGGGGAGGAAAAAGCAACCCAUAGAAGGAACUUAAUUCAUUCUUCCUGGAUUUUCACUGCAUGUUAUUAAAUCACAGAAACAACAGUCCCUGCACUACCCUUUUUCCUGCUGACACCCAGAGUUCGACCCCGAGCACAGUGCCUCUGCAAAGUGUCCUGGCCCCACGCGGAGCCCCAGUGACCAGGCAGUCUCUGGACAGCAACAAGACUGCAAGUUACCAGUGCUGGCGGGGGUGGGGGAGGUGGCCAGAAGGGAACUCCCUAGAGUUUUCACGCUUGCCCUCACCUGUCUGGACACUUACGACAAAGAGGAAAGGCAACUUAAAGGUGUUUUCUAGACGCAGCGUCAGUGGAGUUUCUCUCUGCUUUGUGCUUAAUGCAGUCAUCUGCUGACAGGACAAACCACUCUAGAGGACAGAAAUUAUACCUUUAUAAAUAAUACUGAAUUUUUAACACCUGGAUGUUACUGUCCAAAUGACAGUUACUCAUUACUUCUAGGCUUAUAGGUAACUAGCUUUAGUAUCUAUUUCUGACUUACUCUGAUGAAUGAAUUGUAAGGGUUAGUUGAGUUUUACUAGGAAUAUAAUGUGUUUGGCAGACAAUCUGCUUAAACGGUUAACACAUCUGUGGUUCUUUGAAUAUUGCUGUUAUACUUGAACAUUUAAUUACAAGUCAAAAUGUAAGGAAAUUAAGAAUGCUGAUUCCCACAUGGUGGAAAACAAACUCUGAAGUGACUUUGGAUUUAGCAUUGACAUAAAUGGGAAACUGUUGGUUUCUACAGAAAAGAAAGAAUUAAAGCACGAUCUGGGGGAAAGGCACAGCACUACCACCUCACAUGGGACAUAAAAGUUCAUUUCUCGUGUCUUUAAAAUUUCUAAGCCCUAUAUGAAACUGUCCAAAUAUACAAAGCUCAAUAUACUACUAGCAACAUA